rnacentral:lncRNA from 1 species
GGGCUCUGUGAUCUUCUUGAUGUCUGAGUGACAAGAGAACCAUUUUGUCAACAAAUAAAUAUUUAUUCUCCUAGCUUUUGAAAUAAAGAGCUAAAUUAUCUGCCAUUUCUAAAGCCUGAUUCCCUCAAGUGGCCAGAAUAGAAAAUGCACGUGUUUCCCUUAAGUUUCACAUAUAUGAAACAAACCUGGAUGAUGGCAGAUAAAAGGAAUCAUUUUCAACAACGUUAAAAAUAAAAGAUAGUAGCUUUAAAUCAUGUCCAAGAUAUCAACAUAGACUUAUUUUUUUACCAUACAAUAAGGCUAAAAAAUGCUAGUCUACAAUUUAUGAACCAGUGGGUCUGGAAAAAAUGUCUGGAGAGCAUUAUAUUUUUUUAAAUGCAAACUUGCAAAGAUCUGCAGAAAUAUUUAUCUUAAACUAAAGCUGAACAAAUAACUCAGCUUAAGAUUAAUACAAAUCAAAAGAAAACAGAAAAGUAAACUUUGUUACAUAGGUAUUAUUAACAAAGUCUUCCUCCAACACCCCCUACAAAUAGCUGCCAAAUCUGAGAAGUGGUUGAGUCUGGUGUGUAUUUUUUAAGGGAAAAUAUCCUCAUAAAAUGCAGAAGAAGAUAGGCAAGGGGGACAGUAACCAGAAAGGAUAUUCAGAUGGAAGCCUUUAAUUUCAGGAAGCAUUCAUUUCUUCAUAUGACCUCAUUUGGUAGCUUUUGGAAUUUUUCAUCACAUAAGUGAAAGAAGGCAAACUAAUACACACAGACUUCAACUCCUGAACACAGAGAUAUUUCUGCAACAUUUCUGGUUUCAUCCCAAGCAUGGCUUGGAUUUGUGAAUUUUGAAGCUCUCCCUGUUUCACUGUGAACAUUUGGCUUUGAAAUUUUGCUAGGCUCCAAACUUAUCAGUGUUGAGUUUAUUUUAUGUUAAUCACCUUAAAAAUUCAAUCCUUAAAAUGUCAAUAGAAACAACAAAAAUAUAAAUAAACCAUUGCAAUGAGCCAAAAAGACCCAAUUUAAGAAGGUAAACCUAAAAAAAUUUUGCCAGAGUGUAAAUGGAAAGGAUUAAACACUUUACAAACACAAUCUUUUCUUUUUUCUAAAACUAUAAACACCACAACUUCUUUUUCCAAACACGAUCAAACACACAUACACACACACACACAGAAACAGACUG